UCACCAAUCAGACAGUGGAAAUGCAGG
rnacentral:piRNA from 1 species